CAAUGAGUCGUAUCAUUUCUAGCACAAAAGAAACCCUCUGUAGCUACCGUUGCCCCUGCAGCCCUCUGGCUAGUAGCUGCUCUUUAAAGCCGUCGACUUGAGAAGUGAGGACGAGGACAGACCUGCUGGGCCGCUGGCUGCUUUACCGAUUGUUACGGUUGGACUUCGACGACACAUGAGGACGACGCUCGUUGCUUCCAAUUUUUCAAGGUCGAAACUGAAAUUUAGGGCUUUACUAUUCGAUUCACUGAAUCUAGUAUAGGUGAUACUUGUUUGGUUUGUCUCCAUGAAUGAAACCUCUGUCUUUAGUCGAUAUCAGGUUUGAGAAAUGUACCGACAUACUGUCAUUCUCUAAUUUGUUUAUGCAAAUAUGUGCAUGGUGAAUUUAGCCAAGCAAUAAAUUGUCAAUAGAUAAAUACCGACUAAUUUUCCAAGACAUUGAUUAUCGAUUAUCAUUCUACUUGGUAUAAAUUGUUGCAUUGCUGACAAUUCGUCCUUGGCUCUACUACACUCUCAUCCUAUUCAUGCAAUGCCCUAAAUUAUUACACUAUUUUGUAUUUUUCAUAUUCUUCUUCUCUAUGGUGGUGAAGUGCAUUAUGAAUGAACUUAUAUAUUGGCUUAGAAAGUUGACAAUAUGCAUAUGAAUGGAUAUUUAUUCUGAUCAUGC
rnacentral:lncRNA from 1 species